rnacentral:rRNA from 1 species
UGGGGAAUUUUGGACAAUGGGCGAAAGCCUGAUCCAGCAAUGCCGCGUGUGUGAAGAAGGCCUUCGGGUUGUAAAGCACUUUUGUCCGGAAAGAAAUCCUUGGCCCUAAUACAGUCGGGGGAUGACGGUACCGGAAGAAUAAGCACCGGCUAACUACGUGCCAGCAGCCGCGGUAAUACGUAGGGUGCAAGCGUUAAUCGGAAUUACUGGGCGUAAAGCGUGCGCAGGCGGUUUGCUAAGACCGAUGUGAAAUCCCCGGGCUCAACCUGGGAACUGCAUUGGUGACUGGCAGGCUAGAGUAUGGCAGAGGGGGGUUAGAAUUCCACGUGUAGCAGUGAAAUGCGUAGAGAUGUGGAGGAAUACCGAUGGCGAAGGCAGCCCCCUGGGCCAAUACUGACGCUCAUGCACGAAAGCGUGGGGAGCAAACAGGAUUAGAUACCCUGGGUAGUCCACGCCCUAAACGAUGUCAACUAGUUGUUGGGGAUUCAUUCCUUAGUAACGUAGCUAACGCGUGAAGUUGACCGCCUGGGGAGUACGGUCGCAAGAUU